GCCGGGUGUGGUGGUGCAUGCCUGUAAUCCCAGCGGCUUGGGAGGCUCAGACAGGAGGAUCAUGAGUUCAAAGCCACCCUCAGCAACAGCAAGGCACUAAGCAACUUAGUGAGACCCUGUCUCUA
rnacentral:sRNA from 1 species